UGCUACAAUGGGUAGUACAGAGGGUUGCCAAGCCGUAAGGUGGAGCUAAUCCCUUAAAGCUACUCUCAGUUCGGAUUGUAGGCUGAAACUCGCCUACAUGAAGCUGGAGUUACUAGUAAUCGCAGAUUAGAAUGCUGCGGUGAAUGCGUUCCCGGGUCUUGUACACACCGCCCGUCACCCCACGGGAGUUGGAGACGCCCGAAGCCGAUUAUCUAACCUUUUGGAAGAAGUCGUCGAAGGUGGAAUCAAUAACUGGGGUGAAGUCGUAACAAGGUAGCCGUAUCGGAAGGU
rnacentral:rRNA from 1 species